rnacentral:rRNA from 1 species
GCCACACUGGAACUGAGACACGGUCCAGACUCCUACGGGAGGCAGCAGUGGGGAAUAUUGCACAAUGGGGGAAACCCUGAUGCAGCCAUGCCGCGUGUGUGAAGAAGGCCUUCGGGUUGUAAAGCACUUUCAGCGGGGAGAAAGGCGAUGGCGUUAAUAGCGCCGUCGAUUGACGUUACCCGCAGAAGAAGCACCGGCUAACUCCGUGCCAGCAGCCGCGGUAAUACGGAGGGUGCAAGCGUUAAUCGGAAUUACUGGGCGUAAAGCGUACGCAGGCGGUCUGUUAAGUCAGAUGUGAAAUCCCCGGGCUUAACCUGGGAACUGCAUUUGAAACUGGCAGGCUAGAGUCUCGUAGAGGGGGGUAGAAUUCCAGGGGUAGCGGUGAAAUGCGUAGAGAUCUGGAGGAAUACCGGUGGCGAAGGCGGCCCCCUGGACGAAGACUGACGCUCAGGUACGAAAGCGUGGGGAGCAAACAGGAUUAGAUACCCUGGUAGUCCACGCUGUAAACGAUGUCGAUUUGAAGGUUGUGGCCUUGAGCCGUGGCUUUCGGAGCUAACGCGUUAAAUCGACCGCCUGGGGAGUACGGCCGCAAGGUUAAAACUCAAAUGAAUUGACGGGGGCCCGCACAAGCGGUGGAGCAUGUGGUUUAAUUCGAUGCAACGCGAAGAACCUUACCUACUCUUGACAUCCAGAGAACUUGGCAGAGAUGCCUUGGUGCCUUCGGGAGCUCUGAGACAGGUGCUGCAUGGCUGUCGUCAGCUCGUGUUGUGAAAUGUUGGGUUAAGUCCCGCAACGAGCGCAACCCUUAUCCUUUGUUGCCAGCGAUUCGGUCGGGAACUCAAAGGAGACUGCCGGUGAUAAACCGGAGGAAGGUGGGGAUAACGUCAAGUCAUCAUGGCCCUUACGAGUAGGGCUACACACGUGCUACAAUGGCGCAUACAAAGAGAAGCGAUCUCGCGAGAGUCAGCGGACCUCAUAAAGUGCGUCGUAGUCCGGAUUGGAGUCUGCAACUCGACUCCAUGAAGUCGGAAUCGCUAGUAAUCGUGGAUCAGAAUGCCACGGUGAAUACGUUCCCGGGCCUUGUACACACCGCCCGUCACACCAUGGGAGUGGGUUGCAAAAGAAGUAGGUAGC